GGUUUCGUGGUCGAGUGGUAAAGAUACUUACCUCUCACCCUGGAAUCCCAGGUUCGAUUCCCGGUCGAGGAGCUAAACCA